ACGACAGUGCGAUAAGGGGACUCCGAGUGCGAGGGCAUACAGUCCUCGCUUUUCCGUACCGUAGGGUGGUACGGGAACAAGUGCUGGGCAAGACCGGUGCCAGCCGCCGCGGUAAUACCGGCAGCACGAGUGAUGGCCGAUAUUAUUGGGCCUAAAGCGUCCGUAGCUGGCCGGACAAGUCCGUUGGGAAAUCCACCCGCUUAACGGGUGGGCGUCCAGCGGAAACUGUCCGGCUUGGAGCCGGAAGACCUGAGGGGUACGUCCGGGGUAGGAGUGAAAUCCCGUAAUCCUGGACGGACCGCCGGUGGCGAAAGCGCCUCAGGAGGACGGA
rnacentral:rRNA from 1 species